GGCUGUAGCUCAGUUGGAUAGAGUGUUUGGCUACGAACCAAAAGGUCGGGGGUUCGAAUCCCUCCAGCC
rnacentral:tRNA from 1 species